rnacentral:rRNA from 1 species
GUGAACGCUGGCGGUAGGCCUAACACAUGCAAGUCGAGCGGCAGCACAGUAAGAGCUCGCUCUUACGGGUGGCGAGUGGCGGACGGGUGAGGAAUACAUCGGAAUCUACUUUUUCGUGGGGGAUAACGUAGGGAGACUUACGCUAAUACCGCAUACGACCUACGGGUGAAAGCAGGGGAUCUUCGGACCUUGCGCGAUUGAAUGAGCCGAUGUCGGAUUAGCUAGUUGGCGGGGUAAAGGCCCACCAAGGCGACGAUCCGUAGCUGGUCUGAGAGGAUGAUCAGCCACACUGGAACUGAGACACGGUCCAGACUCCUACGGGAGGCAGCAGUGGGGAAUAUUGGACAAUGGGCGCAAGCCUGAUCCAGCCAUACCGCGUGGGUGAAGAAGGCCUUCGGGUUGUAAAGCCCUUUUGUUGGGAAAGAAAAGCAGCAGGUUAAUACCCCGCUGUUCUGACGGUACCCAAAGAAUAAGCACCGGCUAACUUCGUG